CGCGUGGCGGCGGCUGCUGCGCCCUGCCGGCCGCGCGGGGAAGGCUGCGGCCGUCACGUGCGGGCCCCGGCUCGGCGGCACCGGCGGGAGCCCCCCCCCCCUCCACAGCCACGGGCCGGGCCCCGACUCGCAGCUCCCCGCGGCCACGGCCUGGCUGCGGCGCCCCGAGAGCGCGGGCUUAGGCGCGGCGUCCCAAUACUAAUGGGGGGGGGGAGGGAUGAUCAAGAUCUGCCUGGGACACGGGGAAGCGGGCGCGGGGUCUCGGGCCGGAACGAGGGCAGCGAGCAGAGCAAGGGUGGCUGGAAACGGGGCUGCCCCCGGUUUGAUACGCUUCAGUGUUGGGCUGUGCCCCACGGAGCAGCCCCCGGCUCGCCCCUCCGCCGCUCGGGACGGAACCGCACACCUGGAAUCGCAGCAGCCGGGGACCGCAGCGCUUGUCCCCGAACGGGCAGGGAACGGCCGUGUGUCCGUGCGCAGUGGAGCUACUGUUCAUACAAGAAACAAACUGGGAAACUGCUUGGAAGAAAUCAAGGCAUUUCUUUAUGCCACACUGGAAAAGAUCAUGACCAAUUUUAAAAAAAAAGAAGUAUUCCCAUUUCAUACGUGUGUGGUUCCAGUCAAGCUGAAGUAGUGACUCCCCAACAGAAGCAUGAAGGCAAAGCAAUACCUAAUACAGUAAUCUAGAAGCAGCUGUAACGCACAUCAUGUAAAGCAACUGGAAAUUUGCAGGGGAGACACCACUGGGAGCUGCUUUGCUCUUUUCAUCCAUGUUUGUAAACUAACAGGCGGAGGAGCCUGAAACAAGAAGGCUGCCAGGUCCAGCUGCAGGCAGUCUCUGAUGGCCCAAGGCCGGAAGUAGAAGAGUCAUGUGACCGGAGCAUCUUAUAUAAGCCGAAGCCUCAGGCCUGAGAGACAGUGUGGCCUUAGGAACACAGAAGAAGGGAGCUUCGUAUGAAAAGGCAAAGGGACUGAACUCCAGGGCCUGGAAGAAGGGACUUAGAGUGGCACCUGGGGUGAAGGAGACCUGAGACUCUGCAUUGGGAGCCAGAUAAUUUCCAGAACUUUUUCUAUCUUUGUUUGUAGCUUGGAGAACACAGUCUCAGGGUGAGGCAGUCCCAGGUGAGGAGACCUUCAGGAGCUGGACACUUGUCUGGGCCAGGACUCUCCUGGGCUUGUGCCACUUUUACUCUAUCUGUGCCCUGUAGCUCACAGCCCACUAUUCAUGGCUGCAAGCUUUGGAGCAUACUCUCAGGCUCCAGGACCCAUCGCCCCAAAUCCUACCACCACCUUUCAGUCUCUGACAGGCUUUGCCCUUCCAGGCUAGGAACUUAUUCCCCAGUCUCUAUCUUCUUUCCUCUCAAUCAUGCUUGAAAUUUAGGAUGUUUCCCAAGCACCCCUUUCAGUGGACUCUGCCUUCCCUACAGGUGCAACUCAGACCACCAGGAACAAAAAUCACCACAACCAUGGGUGCCUGCUCAGCUUAAAACCAAAAUGGCUGGCAGCGUUCCCUGUCUGUUUGUUCCAUCAAGACAUUCAGGCAAGAGUACAGAAAGGGAGAGCCAGAGGAGACGAGAGAAGCUAGUGGGAAGAAGCUCCUAAAGUCAGGUAUGCUGGGCCAACGCCUGUGGGCAGCAUACAACAUCACUCUGAUAUUCCCGUGGAUAUCAGAGCCUGGUUGUACUUUGGGUGAAGAAAG